rnacentral:misc_RNA from 1 species
GAUGAAGAACGUAGCGAAACGCGAUAGGUAAUGUGAAUUGCAGAAUUCCAGUGAGUCAUCGAAUCUUUGAACGCACAUUGCGCCCUUUGGUAUUCCGAAGGGCAUGCCUGUUCGAGCGUCAUUAUCACCCCUCAAGCCCUCGGCUUGGUGUUGGACGGUUUGGUGGAGGCCCCCUCGGGGGCUCCUGCCCCUCCCAAAGACAAUGACGGCGGCCUCGUUGGACCCCCGGUACACUGAGUUCUUCACGGGACACGUAUCGGACACAUGGGUUUACGGGACACGGUCUGCCUCCCCUCAGGGAGAAUCUUUCUAAGGUUGACCUCGGAUCAGGUAGGGAUACCCGCUGAACUUAAGCAUAUCAAUAAGCGGAGGA